UAACAAAAGAGAGAGUGCUCAUUUUGUUUCUUCAGCUGGGAAGGGCAAGAACAAGAAAAGAAAGAGGCCUUUUGCAAAGACUGUUGAAAAGGCUAUUGAGAAACCUGCUGCUGCUACUGCUGUAGAUCCAGUACAAAAGAAGCCUUAUGUGCCAAAAUGCUUCUUUUGUGGAAAGACGGAUCACUUGAGAAAGGACUGUCCUAAAUUUGCUAUUUGGCUUGCAAAGAGGGGUAAGUACCUUGUUUUAGUCUGUUGUGAAGUUAAUUUAACUUCAGCUCCUAAAAACACUUAUUGGAUGGAUUCUGGUGCUACCGCUCAUAUAAGUGUUUCAUUGCAGGGCUGCCUCAACUACAGAAAGCCAACUGACGGUGAAAGAUACGUCUAUGUGGGAAAUGGCGAUCUGGUUGAAGUAGAGGCAAUUGGACAUUUUAGAUUAUGUUUAAGUACUGGCUAUUUUUUGGAUCUUAUAGAUACUUUUGUUAUUCCCUCUUUUAGAAGGAAUUUGAUUUCUGUUUCCUUUUAAGGCCUUCUGCAAAGAUUGUUGAAAAGGCUAUUGAGAAACCUGCUGCUGCUACUGCUGUAGAUCCAGUACAAAAGAAGCCUUAUGUGCCAAAAUGCUUCUUUUGUGGAAAGACGGAUCACUUGAGAAAGGACUGUCCUAAAUUUGCUAUUUGGCUUGCAAAGAGGGGGCUGCCUCAACUACAGAAAGCCAACUGACGGUGAAAGAUACGUCUAUGUAGGAAAUGGCGAUCCGGUUGAAGUAGAGGCAAUUGGACAUUUUAGAUUAUGUUUAAGUACUGGCUAUUUUUUGGAUCUUAUAGAUACUUUUGUUAUUCCCUCUUUUAGAAGGAAUUUGAUUUCUGUUUCCUUUUUGGACAAAUCUGGUUUUCAUUGUUCUUUUGGAGACAGUAUAUUCACUUUAUCUAUGAAUUCAAAAGUUUUGGGUACUGGUUGCUUGAAUGAAUGUGAUAAUCUAUAUAUGUUAGACAUUGAUACUAGUUAUCAUGAAUCCCUGCAUGUUACUACAAGAGGUACCAAAAGAAAGUUGAAUAUUGAUAACUCAGCU
rnacentral:lncRNA from 1 species